rnacentral:rRNA from 1 species
GAUGAACGCUGGCGGCAGGCUUAAUACAUGCAAGUCGAACGGUAACACGGGUAGCAAUACCUGGUGACGAGUGGCGCACGGGUGCGUAACGCGUAUGCAACCUACCUUCAAUUGGGACAUAACGUUGAGAAAUUGGCGCUAAUAUUCCAUGUGGAUACGAAGAGGCAUCUUUUUAUAUUUAAAGAUUUAUUGAUUGAGGAUGGGCAUGCGUAUCAUUAGUUAGUUGGCGAGGUAACGGCUCACCAAGACCACGAUGAUUAGGGGUUCUGAGAGGAUAUCCCCCCACACUGGAACUGAGACACGGUCCAGACUCCUACGGGAGGCAGCAGUAGGGAAUAUUGGGCAAUGGAGGCAACUCUGACCCAGCCAUGCCGCGUGCAGGAAGACGGUCCUAUGGAUUGUAAACUGCUUUUAUCAUAGAGUAACCGCGGGGACGUGUCCCCGCCUGCAAGUAUAUGAUGAAUAAGCACCGGCUAACUCCGUGCCAGCAGCCGCGGUAAUACGGAGGGUGCAAGCGUUAUCCGGAUUUAUUGGGUUUAAAGGGUGCGCAGGCUGACAAGUAAGUCAGGGGUGAAAUUUUGCGGCUUAACUGCAAGACUGCCUCUGAUACUGCUUGACUAGAGUUCAAUUGACGUUGCCGGAAUGUGAUGUGUAGCGGUGAAAUGCAUAGAUAUGUCACAGAACGCCUAUCGUGAAGACAGGUAACGAAAUUGAUACAGACGCUCAUGCACGAAAGCGUGGGGAUCAAACAGGAUUAGAUACCCUGGUAGUCCACGCUGUAAACGAUGAUCACUCGUUGUUGGGUAGCAAUACUCAGUGGCCAAGCGAAAGCGAUAAGUGAUCCACCUGGGGAGUACGAUCGCAAGGUUGAAACUCAAAGGAAUUGACGGGGGCCCGCACAAGCGGAGGAGCAUGUGGUUUAAUUCGAUGAUACGCGAGGAACCCUUACCCCGGGCUUGAAUUGCAGCGGAAUAUUGGUGGAAACAACAAUAGCCUUCCGGGCCCGC